rnacentral:rRNA from 1 species
GACGUAGGGCGCGAGCGUUGUCCGGAUUUAUUGGGCGUAAAGAGCUCGUAGGCGGCUUGUCGCGUCGAAUGUGAAAACUCGGGGCUCAACUCCGAGCUUGCAUUCGAUACGGGCAGGCUAGAGUUCGGUAGGGGGAGACUGGAAUUCCUGGUGUAGCGGUGAAAUGCGCAGAUAUCAGGAGGAACACCGGUGGCGAAGGCGGGACUCUGGGCCGAUACUGACGCUGAGGAGCGAAAGCGUGGGGAGCAAACAGG